rnacentral:tRNA from 1 species
GCUCCGGUAGUAUAGUCCGGUCAAGUAUGGCGGCCUCUCGAGCCGCAGACCCGGGUUCGAAUCCCGGCCGGAGCACCA